GGAAGGCUACCCAAGUCUGGUCAACGGGGAGCGACUUAAGCUCAACAAUUCCCAAUCUCCCGCGGAGAGAAAGAAUUUUGCGCACGUCUCGCUUGCUUUGCUUCGUGAGUUCGAAUCUCACGUCUUCCA